UUUAAUCUGAGGGUCCAGGGUUC
rnacentral:piRNA from 1 species